rnacentral:tRNA from 1 species
AAGACUAUAUAAUAGGCUGCUAACCUAGAUAUAAUGUAAUCAUUUAGUCUUU